AACGAACGCUGGCGGCAUGCCUAACACAUGCAAGUCGAACGAAGCCUUCGGGCUUAGUGGCGCACGGGUGCGUAACGCGUGGGAAUCUGUCCUUGGGUUCGGAAUAACAGUUAGAAAUGACUGCUAAUACCGGAUGAUGUCUUCGGACCAAAGAUUUAUCGCCCAAGGAUGAGCCCGCGUAGGAUUAGGUAGUUGGUGGGGUAAUGGCCCACCAAGCCGACGAUCCUUAGCUGGUCUGAGAGGAUGAUCAGCUACACUGGGACUGAGACACGGCCCAGACUCCUACGGGAGGCAGCAGUGGGGAAUAUUGGACAAUGGGCGAAAGCCUGAUCCAGCAAUGCCGCGUGAGUGAUGAAGGCCUUAGGGUUGUAAAGCUCUUUUACCAGGGAUGAUAAUGACAGUACCUGGAGAAUAAGCUCCGGCUAACUCCGUGCCAGCCGCCGCGGUAA
rnacentral:rRNA from 1 species